AGAACGAACGCUGGCGGCGUGCCUAACACAUGCAAGUCGAGGGAGAAAGGUGGCUUCGGCCACUGAGUAAACCGGCGCACGGGUGAGUAACACGUAGGUAACGUACCCUGGAGUCCGGGAUAACCAGUCGAAAGACUGGCUAAUACCGGAUACGACUACGGAAACUCAGGUUUCUGUAGUGAAAGACGGCCUCUGUUUACAUGCUGUCACUCCUGGAUCGGCCUGCGCACCAUUAGCUAGUGGUGAGUAACGGCUCACCAAGGCUGAGAUGGUUA
rnacentral:rRNA from 1 species